AGAGUCUUUCCAAUCACUGUUUAUCUGAUGGAUUCCAGCAAGUAUGGAAAUGAAGCAAAGAUUUUGACUCAUGGUUCUGAUAGAGGUCACAGGCUAAGGAUGUCAUUGCUCACAUCAGGAGUAUUUCUAGCUGUUAAAGCCACUUGGCCUGCGGACAGGCAAGGAGAGAGAAAGAGCAAUGGACAAUGCGAGGAAGAAUGAAUGAGCUGAGAGGGAUUCCAGGCAGUGAAGGGAUCGCUGGCUUCACUUCCCCUGUGAUCGGGCCUUUUCUUAUUUGUCCUCCCACCCUUGGCAUUAUCCGGCAUGAAUUCUUUGGAAUGCUUUGGUACUGCUUAAUUUACAUGUAUGCCAACAGGCUUUUAAUGUAUUUAAAUCUUGGAAGAUGUUCAAAGGAAACCCAUAAUUCCUCUGAAAUAGGCCUUUUGAAGGUUUUAUCUCGCUCUUUCUCUCUAGCUAAUCUCACAG
ensembl:lncRNA